GUUUGAUUAUGGCUCAGGAUGAACGCUGGCGGCAUGCCUAAUACAUGCAAGUCGAACGGAGUGAAGCCUUCGGGUUUCAUUCAGUGGCGAACGGGUGAGUAAUACGCAGGGAACCUGGCCAUGGCAGGGGGAUACACUCUGGAAACGGAGCAUAAGACCCCAUAGGCAGUAAGGCGGCAUCGCCUUACUGUUAAAGAAAGCUGAAAGGCUUUGGCGAUGGAUGGACCUGCGGUGCAUUAGCUUGUUGGUGAGGCAACGGCUUACCAAGGCGAUGAUGCAUAGCCGGCCUGAGAGGGCGGACGGCCACACUGGGACUGAGACACGGCCCAGACUCCUGCGGGAGGCAGCAGUAGGGAAUUUUCGUCAAUGGGCGCAAGCCUGAACGAGCAAUGCCGCGUGAGUGAGGAAGGUCUUCGGACUGUAAAGCUCUGUUGCCGGGGAAAAAGGGGAAAUGCAGGAAAUGGCAUUUCAUGGAUGGUACCCGGCCAGAAAGCCACGGCUAACUACGUGCCAGCAGCCGCGGUAAUACGUAGGUGGCGAGCGUUAUCCGGAAUGAUUGGGCGUAAAGGGUGCGCAGGCGGUCUGUUAAGUCUGAAGGCAAAGGGAUGAGCUCAACUCAUUUAUGAUUCAGAAACUGGCAGACUUGAGGACAGGAGAGGGCGGUGGAACUCCAUGUGUAGCGGUAAAAUGCGCAGAGAUAUGGAAGAACACCAGUGGCGAAGGCGGCCGCCUGGCCUGUGACUGACGCUGAGGCACGAAAGCGUGGGGAGCAAAUAGGAUUAGAUACCCUAGUAGUCCACGCCGUAAACGAUGAGGAGCAGGUGUUGGGAGUGAAAUCUCAGUGCCGAAGCCAACGCAGUGACUCCUCCGCCUGGGGAGUAUGCACGCAAGUGUGAAACUCAAAGGAAUUGACGGGGGCCCGCACAAGCGGUGGAGUAUGUGGUUUAAUUCGAAGCAACGCGAAGAACCUUACCAGGUUUUGACAUCGGAUGCGAAGGCGCAGAGAUGCGCUGGAGGCUAUCAUCCAGACAGGUGGUGCAUGGUUGUCGUCAGCUCGUGUCGUGAGAUGUUCAGUUAAGUCUGGCAACGAGCGCAACCCCCGUGGUAUGUUACUAACGCUUUAGGGCGAGGACUCAUAUCAGACUGCCGGUGACAAACCGGAGGAAGGCGGGGAUGACGUCAAAUCAUCAUGCCCCUUAUGACCUGGGCUACACACGUAUUACAAUGGCGUCUACAGAGGGAAGCGACCCUGAGAAGGGAAGCGAAACCGGAAAAGGGCGUCCCAGUUCGGAUUGAAGUCUGCAACCCGACUUCAUGAAGAUGGAAUCGCUAGUAAUCGCGGAUCAGCAUGCCGCGGUGAAUACGUUCCCGGGCCUUGUACACACCGCCCGUCAAACCAUGGAAGCCGGCAACGCCCGAAGCCGGUGGCAUAACCUUUUAGGAGUGAGCCGUCGAAGGCGGGGCCGAUGACUGGGGUUAAGUCGUAACAAGGUACCC
rnacentral:rRNA from 1 species